GCUUAACACAUGCAAGUCGAGGGGUAUAGUCCUUCGGGACUAGGGACCGGCGCACGGGUGCGUAACGCGUAUGCAAUCUACCUUUCACAGAGGGAUAGCCCAGAGAAAUUUGGAUUAAUACCUCAUAGUAUAAUUGAAUGGCAUCAUUUAAUUAUUAAAGUCACAACGGUAAAAGAUGAGCAUGCGUCCCAUUAGCUAGUUGGUAAGGUAACGGCUUACCAAGGCUACGAUGGGUAGGGGUCCUGAGAGGGAGAUCCCCCACACUGGUACUGAGACACGGACCAGACUCCUACGGGAGGCAGCAGUGAGGAAUAUUGGACAAUGGGCGCAAGCCUGAUCCAGCCAUGCCGCGUGCAGGAUGACGGUCCUAUGGAUUGUAAACUGCUUUUGCACAGGAAGAAACAACUCUACGUGUAGAGUCUUGACGGUACUGUGAGAAUAAGGAUCGGCUAACUCCGUGCCAGCAGCCACGGUAAUACGGAGGAUCCAAGCGUUAUCCGGAAUCAUUGGGUUUAAAGGGUCCGUAGGCGGUUUAGUAAGUCAGUGGUGAAAGCCCAUCGCUCAACGGCGGAACGGCCAUUGAUACUGCUAGACUUGAAUUAUUAGGAAGUAACUAGAAUAUGUAGUGUAGCGGUGAAAUGCUUAGAGAUUACAUGGAAUACCAAUUGCGAAGGCAGGUUACUACUAAUGGAUUGACGCUGAUGGACGAAAGCGU
rnacentral:rRNA from 1 species